rnacentral:rRNA from 1 species
UGGUGAAGUGAUUUGUCUGGUUUAUUCCGAUAACGAACGAGACCUUAACCUGCUAAAUAGUUGUGCAGAUUGCCUAACGGGUGAAGUGUGGCUGUGGGGCUGGCUUGCUGGUCCCUGACUGCAUGGAACCUUGGUGACUCUGCAUCUAACUUCUUAGAGGGACAACCCACGGUAAGUGGGUGGAAGUUUAAGGCAAUAACA